rnacentral:rRNA from 1 species
UACGUAGGGGGCAAGCGUUGUCCGGAUUUAUUGGGCGUAAAGAGCUCGUAGGCGGCUUGGCAAGUCGGGUGUGAAAACUUCAGGCUCAACCUGGAGCGGCCACUCGAUACUGCUAUGGCUUGAGUCCGGUAGGGGACCACGGAAUUCCUGGUGUAGCGGUGAAAUGCGCAGAUAUCAGGAGGAACACCAGUGGCGAAGGCGGUGGUCUGGGCCGGAACUGACGCUGAGGAGCGAAGGUCAGGGGAGCAAACGGG